rnacentral:rRNA from 1 species
GAUGAACGCUGGCGGCGUGCCUAAUACAUGCAAGUCGAGCGAACAGACGAGGAGCUUGCUCCUCUGACGUUAGCGGCGGACGGGUGAGUAACACGUGUAUAACCUACCUAUAAGACUGGGAUAACUUCGGGAAACCGGAGCUAAUACGGGAUAAUAUAUUGAACCGCAUUGGUCAAUAGUGAAAUACGGUGUUGCUGUCACUUAUAGAUGGUUCCGAGCCGUAUUAGCUAGUUGGUAAGGUAACGGCUUACCAAGGCAACGAUGCGUAAGCGACGUGAGGGGGUGGUAGGCCACCCUGGAACUGGGCCACGGUCAAGACUCCUAAGGGAGGCAGCAGUAGGGAAUCUUCCGCAAUGGGCGAGAGCAUGACGGAGCAACGCCGCGUGAGUGAUAAAGGUCUUCGGAUCGUAAAGCUCUGUUAUUAGGGAAGAACAAAUGUGUAAGUAACUAUGCACGUAUUGACGGUAACGAAUAAGAAAGCCACGGCUAACUACGUG